UAGGGAAUCUUCGGCAAUGGGGGCAACCCUGACCGAGCAACGCCGCGUGAGUGAAGAAGGUUUUCGGAUCGUAAAGCUCUGUUGUAAGUCAAGAACGAGUGUGAGAGUGGAAAGUUCACACUGUGACGGUAGCUUACCAGAAAGGGACGGCUAACUACGUGCCAGCAGCCGCGGUAAUACGUAGGUCCCGAGCGUUGUCCGGAUUUAUUGGGCGUAAAGCGAGCGCAGGCGGUUUGAUAAGUCUGAAGUUAAAGGCUGUGGCUCAACCAUAGUUCGCUUUGGAAACUGUCAGACUUGAGUGCAGAAGGGGAGAGUGGAAUUCCAUGUGUAGCGGUGAAAUGCGUAGAUAUAUGGAGGAACACCGGUGGCGAAAGCGGCUCUCUGGUCUGUAACUGACGCUGAGGCUCGAAAGCGUGGGGAGCGAACAGGAUUAGAUACCCUGGUAGUCCACGCCGUAACGAUGAGUGCUAGGUGUUGGAUCCUUUCCGGGAUUCAGUGCCGCAGCUAACGCAUUAAGCACUCCGCCUGGGGAGUACGACCGCAAGGUU
rnacentral:rRNA from 1 species